UUGCCAUCAGAUUCUUGGCUGACUCCCAAGCCAGGUUCAGAAGAGCCCUCGCACUCUGGAGCCCCCAGAAGGACUUAGUGCUUGUAGGCUCUGGCAGCUUCGGGGUGUCUGGGGAGGGCAGUCCUACCUGAGGCUGUCCUGAGUCUGAGACACGUGGCGCUUGGGGCUGACUCUCUGCGGUGGCUCCGGGUCCCCUGGCAGUGCCACUCUGGUGUGAACCCGGUAAAGAGGAUUCUAUCUCCAUUUGACGAUUAACCCUCAACCUGAGGAAAGAGAGGUCCUGCCAGCCUGGCUGACUUGAAGUCACAGGAGGGUCCUCUUCAAAGACUCCUCCUGUCAUUUCUAGGAGUCCCCAACGGAUCCAAUCUAUUCAUUCAACCAACAAAUAUUGAGCACGUAUCAGGUACCAGGGAGUGUGCUGAAGAUGCAGUAGUGAGAAAAAAAGGACACAGCUGCUGUUCUUUGGGUGUUUUCAAUCUAAAAGGGGACACCAGACCUUAAUCAAAUAAUGACUCAGGGAAUCAAAUGCAAGCUAACUUAAGUAACUAGAAGAACAAGUAGAAAGCUUAUAAGAACAAUGGCAAAGGUACUUGACCUUGGCUGGGGCUCAGGUCUCCAAGGAAGUUCCUAAUUGAAAUGAGCUCUGGGGUCCGGGGAAGUUCAUGGGGUCUGGUUGAAGCGGUUCUGAAGAAAGAGGGCUGUCUCUGGCAGAAGGAACGGCAAGGGCAAGAGCUCUGUGGUAGGAGAAGGCACAGUAUGCAGGAUACACAGUUCAGAACUGGCAAGUUUGAAUGAUUUCAGCAGGCUCUGAGGCAAAGUUGCUGCCCCUCAUUAUCUGGUACCUGGUUCUGGGGGUGAUAGAGGCAGGGGAAUAGUGGCCCUAAUUGUCAGAACCCAUUGAGGAGGUAGGUGAUGGUGUGGGCUCUGGGUUGGCUAGCUUGCAUAUGAAAGUCACACUAGCGGGCAGGUUGUUUGCUAUCUCUAGAAAUUGGCUAGCCCUAGGAUGGGAGUCCCUCCAGAGUCAGCAGGCCCUGAGAUGUCAAAGGAUCAAACAGAGUACAGAGUAAAAGACAUGAUUAAUCCAGUACAUUGGAGGAACAUCAGGGGGAAGAGUGGCCAGAGUUAGCAAGAGGGACAGAUGAUGAGGAAGGAUGACAUUUCUCACUGUUUCUGAGGGACUUCAGUGAAAAAUGAUCUUCCCAGUUUUUGUAAUCCUUUCCCCCUUUGGACACAAACAUAUGGCUGGACUGGAGGUCUAAUCUGGCUGAGAGAAACAUCUGCACUCAGAAGUGUCCCAGAAACUAUCCUCCAAUAACUCUUGAUAUAAAUUACAUAUCCUCUAAUAUGUCCUAGCAACAUAUUGGCCUAAGUCUGAGUGCUAGGUCUCUUCCUUGGGAAUAUAUUAUUUUCUUACAUUCUUUGGUCAAAUUAGCCCUAGGGCAGUGGUUCUCAAUCAGGAACAAUUUUGUGGGAUUUAGGACAUUUGACAAUGUCUGGAGACAUUUUUGGUUGUCACAACUUGGUGGAGAGUAUUAGAGUGCAGAAGUCAGGGAUGCUGCCAAACAUAACAAAAUGCUUGGGACACAUUCCCCAACCCCCCACCCCACACACACAGCAGAGCAUCAUCUCUCCCAGAAUGUCAGUAGUAGGGCUGAGACUGGGAAAUAUUAUCCCAGAUAUCUGUAUCCUGGAAGUGAAUAGAGUCAGAGGUUAAGCCAUGGCCCUUCACAAAAAGAAUUUUUCAUUAAAAAUCACCCUGUAGUGGAUAUAUUAUAUUCAUUAUUUGUAUAACUUGUCUUUUAGUCUCAAGAAAUAUCUGAUUUUUCUUCUACCUAUUCCUUCUCUCUAUGUCUGUUUUGGAAAAGAAGGCCUGGGGGCAUAUUUAGAAAGAGUUACCUAAUCUGCUAUCUUAUAGCACCAUUCCAAAGCUCUUUAAGUGAUGGUCUCCUAUUUGUUUUAUUUUUUUUAGAUUCCCUGUUACUUUAUGAAAUUGAGUCAAGUCGACAAGUCUUUAAUAACUGCCUACCAUAUACUUAGCACAUGUCAUUCUGGAAAUCUAACACAAUGCCUGACCCAGUGCACAGAGGGACCUAACCCAUGAGAAUGUACAUUAUCUUAUGUACUUUUCCCAGUAGCCUUAUAAUGAAAGGAUUCAUAUACCUCCGCUUACACGUGAGUAGAUAAAGGCUUGGAGAGAGUUGAGUUGUGCCUAGAUCACGUGGCUAGUAUGUAGUAGACUCUGGAUUUGAACCCAAGCACAUGGUCUGCCCCAAAGCCAAUGCCCCUCUUGUGGAACUCCAUAACUCUUUCCCACUGAUGAAAACUGGGGAGCACAACUUUUUAUCCCAUUAAGAACUAUCCUCCAAUUGGCUCUUUUAAUUUAGAGGACUCUGUUCAGCUCAUUCAGCUUCUCCACCAAAGAAGUGAGCAUAGUUCUGGAUGAAAGGAAAAAUAUUAACCAAAGGAAUCAACAGGCUUCAUAAUAGUUUAACUCCCAUUCUACCAGAAAGUCUGACUCUCAAAAACUCUGACUCCCACCUAAUUAGUACCUUAGUCGAGGCGCUAUAAAUUAGCAGAGAUUAGUUAGGGAUAAUGAAAAAGGUGGGGGACAUAUCCUAACAUUGCUCCAGUUUUAUUCCACAGAUAGCUCCCUGGGAAAUUAAACAGAUUCUCAUUGAGCCUGAGGUGAGCCUUGAAUUUCAAAGAAGAUGAAAAGACUCAUCAGAGCAAACCUAUUCCUGCUCUUGAUAGAAAUUACUUCUCCUCAGAUGUCAGCCCCUUCCCCACCCCCUCAGACUAUCUCUUCCAGACUGUCAGCAGUUAUUUUUUAAGUUUUAUCCUUCUGUACUAUUUUAGUGGGGUUUUUUUUUUUUCCUAUUAUGCCCAUAUACCUGCUACAAAGUAGGACAUGAGCUAGCUAGCUAAAUAAUCUUUAGUAAAUACAUAGAACUAUACCCUAUGGUAGAGCUUUAAAAAUAAAAGGCAUAGGGCAGCCUGGGUGGCUCAGCGGUUUAGCGCCGCCUUCAGCCCAGGGCGCGAUCCUGGAGACCUGGGAUCGAGUCCCACAUCGGGCUCCCUG